CAGCAGCCGCGGUAAUACGAGGGGGGCAAGCGUUGUUCGGAAUUAUUGGGCGUAAAGGGUGCGUAGGCGGCUUGACAAGUCUUGUGUGGAAUCUAUGGGCUCAACCCAUAGUCUGCACGGGAAACUGUCGGGCUUGAGAAUGGGAGAGGUGAGUGGAAUUUCCGGUGUAGCGGUGAAAUGCGUAGAUAUCGGAAGGAACACCUGUGGCGAAAGCGGCUCACUGGACCAUUUCUGACGCUGAUGCACGAAAGCUAGGGGAGCAAACAGGAUUAGAUACCCCGGUAGUCCCUGUCUCUUAUAC
rnacentral:rRNA from 1 species